CCUACGGGGGGCUGCAGUGGGGAAUCUUGCGCAAUGGACGAAAGUCUGACGCAGCGACGCCGCGUGGGUGACGACGGCCUUCGGGUUGUAAAGCCCUGUGGGCGGGAACGAACCGGUCGGGAGUGAACAUCUCCCGGCCUUGACGGUACCCGUUUAGCAAGCAUCGGCUAACUCUGUGCCAGCAGCCGCGGUAAGACAGAGGAUGCGAACGUUGCUCGGAAUUGCUGGGCGGGUUCUGCGCGCCUGCGGUGAAAGCCCGGGGCUCAACCUCGGAAGUGCACCGGAUACUGCGGAACUGGGGUCUUGAAGAGGAGAGCGGAAUUCCCGGUGUAGAGGGGAAAUUCGUAGAUAUCGGGAGGAACACCAGUGGCGAAAGCGGCUCUCUGGGCAAUGACCGACGCUGAGGCGCGAAGGCGUGGGAAGCAAACAGGAUUAGAUACCCCAGUAGUC
rnacentral:rRNA from 1 species